rnacentral:rRNA from 1 species
CUACGGGAGGCAGCAGUGGGGAAUAUUGGACAAUGGGCGAAAGCCUGAUCCAGCCAUGCCGCGUGAGUGAUGAAGGCCCUAGGGUUGUAAAGCUCUUUCACCGGUGAAGAUAAUGACGGUAACCGGAGAAGAAGCCCCGGCUAACUUCGUGCCAGCAGCCGCGGUAAUACGAAGGGGGCUAGCGUUGUUCGGAAUUACUGGGCGUAAAGCGCACGUAGGCGGACUAUUAAGUCAGGGGUGAAAUCCCGGGGCUCAACCCCGGAACUGCCCUUGAUACUGGCAGUCUUGAGUUCGAGAGAGGUGAGUGGAAUUCCGAGUGUAGAGGUGAAAUUCGUAGAUAUUCGGAGGAACACCAGUGGCGAAGGCGGCUCACUGGUCCGGUACUGACGCUGAGGUGCGAAAGCGUGGGGAGCAAACAGGAUUAGAAACCCCUGUAGUCC